UGAAGGAACGGUCACUGGUGGUGGUACUACUGUAGCUGGUGCUGCCGCUGGAGCAGUCGGAGGUGGAACUAUCUGCUCUGGUACGGUACUCUGUGGCGGGGUGACCCUCUCACACAACCUCUCCAAUAACUCCCCUUGCCGCCUCGUCACUUCUGUCAGAGCGGCCAACUGAGCACUCAAGUCGGGGGAUGCGCUCGCCUCUGGUCGUGUACUCUGCUCCUGCCGGGCACUCGGCUCUGCCUGCUCAGGCAUCUCGGAGGGUCCCACACGAUCCUGCGUCAACUGUGCCCGGUCCCGUGUCGACGGUCGGCCUCGACGACGAUACAUAGCUGCAAAAAUAAAACAGGGUUAGAUAACACAAAUACUCUCGACCCAAUCAACGAAAGUCCGGAAGGCAGCCCCUGUUUCUCCUCAAAAUUAUGUUGUCUGCAGCCAACAUAAUUUUGCAGGCUAGAACAGGCACUCCUCCAAUCACUCACUCCCCUCAGGGUGACUUACAACAACUAAUCAUUGACUUUCGUAAUAAAUCACGCCUCUCCCGUCUUGCUUUCCUAAGGUUUGCCAAACUUAGGUUUCCUAGGUCCCAAUGACCUAAUGCUAAUCUCUGAUACCAACUUAAUCUGUCACGCCCCGGAUUACACGUUCCCCGGGCACGCCGACAAAUCCGCCGUAUACAAAAUUUUUUUUUCUGUAUACGAAGCGAUAGCUGUCUCUGUAAAAUAUACAAUACUACAAACAGUAGUGUAGAGCUGCUACCUGCAGCUGGUGAUCCUCUAGCACAGCGUUUCGUCGGGUAGGGCUCUAGCUCGCGACGGCCUUGCCUCGAUCCGCCUCUGAAGACGCAGCAGCCGGAACAGUAGGCUCUGCAAAACACAGGAUAACAACUGGGCGUGAGAACUACUGUAAAAAUAAGUAGUCCUCAGUGGGUAC
rnacentral:lncRNA from 1 species